GGUUUUGGAAAUAGUUACAAAGAAAAAAUAGUAAAAAAAGUCAUAAAUAAAGACAAAAAUAAGGACUUAGUUGGAAUAAUAGAAAGCUAUGAAAAUAACAUUAUAGAUAGGUUCUAUUCGAAAGAAAGUGAGAGAGAUGGGGAAAGUGAGCAUAGUAGUCAACGUUGUUAUAGUCAUGAAUAUAACAAAAAUUUGGAGAAAUACACAUUGUAUAGUAAUUUGGUACUUGUUAGGAAAUGCGUUAGUCGUAUUUAUAAAAUACUUGGAGAUUUAUUUAGGUAUAAAUAUUAUUUUUAUGCAAAUAGAAAAAAAAAAAACAACGAAAUAAAAGCACAUAUGUAUUAUUUUAAAUCUAUGCAUUACUAUAAGUAUAAUGGUUAUAUAUAUAAUCAACUAUCUUUAUUAUAUUUAAAUAGUAAUUCAAUAAAAUGCUUAUUUUUUUAUUUUUUAUCAUUAAUUUCUUAUAAACCAGCUCCUAAUAGAGAUGUGGUUAUUACAUUUUUGGAAAAUGUACUAAAAGAAAAAAUAAAAAUAAAAAAAUGUUUAAAUGAUCAUAAACAAAAUGAGAACUUCAAUAAAUGCAAUUCUAAUUAUUUGUACAGGGAUGAUGCAUAUAUUAAUAACUAUGCAAACAAAAUUAUGCAUAAUAAGCUAAGCAUAGGUGGUAAUAGACAGAGUAAAAUUGACAGAGUGGGAAAUAACGGUAACUAUAACAAUGGUAGCUAUAACAACGGUAGCUAUAACAGUGGUAGCUAUAACCGUGGUAGCUAUGAUUGUGGUAGCUAUGACCGUGGUAGCUAUAACAGUGGUAGUUAUAACAGUGGUAGCUAUAACAGUGGUAGCUAUAAUAACGGUAAACAUAACAAUGACAUAUACGAAAACAACCACAAAAAUAAUGCCAGACGUGAUUGGAAUAAACUAGGUACAGGUAUGUUUUGUGGUCGUCAUAAAAAAAACAUACACGUGUCAAUUGAUCUUUAUGAAAACAAAAUUAAAGACGUUUUUUCGAGAGAAGAAAUAAAAACAUAUAAUAAAAAAAAAAAAAAAAAAUUAAAAAAUGAAUUUAUGAAAAAUAGUAUAAGAAAUGUGAACGACGGUAUUAUAGAAAGGAAUUUAUUUAGCAUGAUUGGAACAAAAAAAAGGCUAAACAGAAAUACACUGAGACGAAACAUAUUAAUCAAAUACAAACUGAACCAUGACAAAUUAAACAAAAAAAAACUGACCAUAAAAGAAAAAGUACAAAAAGAAAUAAAUGAA
rnacentral:lncRNA from 1 species